CUCUGGUGCCGGCUUUUAGACCUGAGAGAUCGCAAGAUAAAUGUCAUCUUUUGACACCCGACGAUGAAGUGACAUCUAAUUUAAAGUCUCUUGAGACGGAUCUUCUAAGUCAGAGGGUGCCAUUUGUAACUGAUUCUAGGAACGAACUAUGCAGAUGGAACCAAAUCUCGAUACCCCUAAAAGUGCUAGCUUCCAUGGCCAGAAGAACCUUCUGAAGCAGAUUGAGAAAGACGCUUACUUGCCGAAGGCUAGAUGAUACCGGGAAAAAAAAAUUGCAACCUAUAUGCCUCAAGGAGAUGAUAUCUGAUUACUGCAAGCAAUUCGUACUGUGCUUCGAAGGAAAAUUCUUCAGCGAUAUACUCACUAUUUUGUGAAAUUACACUGGGUGAGGCUAAAAGAUGGAAGAUUUCUAUUAAGAUGGUGCCAAUAGUAGCCUCCAGUUUAUCUGGAAAACACGAAUUAAAAUACGCAUCGGUGUUGCACGAGUACUUGCAUUCCUCCAUGAAGUCCAGCCUUAUAUAGAUAAUUCAUAGAGGCACUAAAGCAGGUAAUAUCUGUCUCGACAGUGCCCUGACCCCAAAGAUUUCAGAGUUUGGUCUUGCUAAGCUUAUUCCAGCUAAUCUGACCUACGUUAACACUUGUGUGGCCAGAACUCUGUAAGUUUACGUACUUCUAUAUUUUCUUAGACAAAUUCCUCUUGGUGAAUUGUAGGUUGGAUUUAUGAAUUAAAAUGAGUAAGCCAUUCAGAAAUGAUAAGUAAUGUUCUGAGUUAAGAAAUGACUGGAAAGUAAGUAAUUUUAUUGAUUGUAUGGGGAAAAUACUGUACAAAAGAUUUAUUCAUUGAAGGGAAACAUCUCACAAUUUUUCUGUUUUUUCUUCCUUUGUGAAUGUGCAGCAGCUUGGUGAUGCUUGUGAAUGUGCAACAGCUUGGUGAUGCUUACAAUAAAAUUCAAAAGAAGUUCAAGCAUCUGUCUUCAAAUACGGUAGCUGAAGAUCAGACAAGCUAAAGCAAGUCUUCUGGUUGCAAGAAGUUGUUGGGCUUCAUGUAGGCGAUAUCAACCAGUUAGGAUUAAGGGGACAAUAGAGACCAGCAUGAGGGGCAUUUUUGCUACUGGUUGUGUUCAAGAUAAGAAGUAUAGGCAAGCCAUUACAGGCGCUGGCCCAGGGUGCGUGGCAGCUUGGAUGCAGAGCAUUACUUGCAAGAUCUUGAUGACAAAAAAGGUAACAGUGAUUGCUUGCACGGGUUGUAUUGAAUUAGAAACAAUUUAUGUUGCAAUAAGGACAUUUAUGUUCCAUACUCUGUUCAAAGAAAUUGUUGUAACAAUGAAUAUUUGCAGUUCGAGAAUGCUCAGAGAUUCUGCUUGACUUAGUCCUUUGUAGUUGAGUUUGAUGGUGCAAAUCAGAUCUGUAGUAAAGCUGGUCAAUGUUGUGGCCAGUUUUUCGGAUCUAAUUUGUGUCCGUAGUCUUCAUGCUGUUGCAAACAUUGUGAUUUUGUAAGUAAUGUUUGCAUGCAGUUGGAUUAAUUUUGAAGAACGAAUAAUUAGAGAACUGAGUCUAUGGUUUGCAGAAGCUUUUGCCUCCUGAUAGAACCUAUGAAUCCACCAAAACAAUCUAAGGGACCUGGUCCCUAAACUGUUUUCAUAGAUAUAUACUCAAAGUAAUUAGAGGCAAGAUAUUUACGAGGAAAACUCCUUGGGAUUAAAAAUCAUGACCUACUUCAGUAGGAUUUCCAACUUCACUAAACUGAGUAAUGUUUCAGAUUACAAGCUGUUGCAACCUAGGAAUUAGACCACUAAUUCCUCCCCUUACAAUCUAUUGCAAGCACACUCUUGACUAACUCUAGUCAAGCAUCAAACUGAUUCAACUAACCCUAGCUGAACCUUAACGCCACUAUGACUAACUCUAGCCAAGUGUUAACAACAAAAGCUUGAUAAAAACAAAAUACCUACAAAACCAUUCUUGAGGAAGUGUAGGUUUACAAUGUAGAGAUCACAAAGAGAAAGACUAGACAACUCUAGGACUCAAAGCAUCUUCCAUUGUUGAGAUCUGGUCCUUGAACUUGUCAUAGCUUUAUUCUUUUGAGCACCAAGAGAACUGUGGCGGCUGCACUUGUAAAGAUUUGAAAAUUAAACAAUGCCAACAUGUUGUUUAAAUAGGAAUUCAAAUGAGAGCAUGUGAGAUGCAUGUGACCUGAAAAGAGGCGUUACGCUAGUCUUAGCAUUUAGCAUGCAUACAGCUGUGCUGCUGUGGUGUUGCCUGACGGAAUAGUGCACACAGCUUUACAGCUGUCAUGCGAUGUACAGUCUUCAGGGGACCUGAUCCUUGGCAUGUUUGUCAAAUCAUCAAAACUAUAAAAAGUCAUUAACUCAUCACCUCCCUUUCUUAGUGUUAUCUUUGAAAUGCAAAGUUGAGCUGUAAUGCAAAGAGUCAACAUUGAUGCUACAUUACUUGGGGGGAAAGUUUCAAUCUCUCCAACGGUUUUCAUCUCCGAAAAUGGACUAAAAGUGGUUGAAGAUUCUUUUCGUUGGAAAAUUUCUUGCACAGAUCAUACAUAUUAUUUCUGAAUGUCUUAAACUUUAUAUUGUACAAAUGAUGGAUUUGAGCCAGAGGGAAAAAUCAGCGCUGCCUAACGAGUAUCUAAUCAAGAAUGGAACCUAACUGGAGUUGGCACAUUUAAGAGGAAAAAGGUAAGCAAAAUUGACCCCCCCCCCCCCCCCCCCCCCAAAAAAAAAGUCCAAAUCAAUGGAACAAUCAUCGAUGGACGCUGUACAACAAUCAAUUCAACUCGAGGUCCUUUACUAAUAGAAGUUCCUUAAUUUCCUAGUAGCAAGGAUAAGGAAAGGAGUAGUAAGGGAACAUCCUGCAUACAAGAUUUGUACAUUGAUUCUACUUGAAAAUUUCAUAUUUCAACUUUUUCCCGUUCAGUAUUAGUACUGAAAAAGAAGACACUUUUUCCCAAUUCUUUUGGCUACCAUUUUCCUGAUGCAUGUUGUUUGAACAACUCCUUAGGGCCUCGUUAACCACCCGAUGAUCCAACUUCAGUGCACGCAACCUUGGAAGGGCUUAAUUGAUAAUAGCACUGGGUUAUUGUACUACUAGAAUGCAGAAACUAAUGUUACUAAGUACGAGAAGCCAUCGAUUGUUAUGUAACGAGAAGCCAGAAUUAGUCAGAUUUUGAUUUUUUUACAUUAAUAAUAAUUAAGUUAAAGAAUGGUUGCAAAGCAUCAAAAUAAGGGAGUUAAGUGUAAUAUCGCAUACCAGAAGGGAGGUGUGUGAAACAAAGCUAGACCUAAGGCGAGGUUUUCGAAAUUAUUCCUAAAUACUAUUGUAUUAUAUUGCCAAAUCAUUUCUAUGUAAUGAUGAAAAGUGUCAUUUUGUGGAAUGAUCAAUUUUAUGUGAUCGAUCGCAUCGUUACCUUA